GUCUGACGCGGGAUGUGAAGCAUACGAGCUGGAAUUUAUCUGCCUAAGGUGCCAUGCGCGCUGGAUAAUCCUUUUUAUUCUCCUUACUUCCAGCCUCCAGGUGAGUUUUUUAGAAUAUCGUACUCACAGAUAGAAGGUCCACUGUUAGAUGUGCACUAUAUACUGUUGCAUUUUGUGGAUCGGUAUUGUCGUUGUUGCACAUGGACAUCCAUGCACUAUAUGAAAGAGAUGUAAUGCCCUAAUGCAAUUGCAUUCUUUGUUUAUAUUCAUAUUCUAUAUCAAAUAUCCUGUCAUAUUAAAGUUGUAUAUAAUGCCGCAUUGUGCAUACAAGCACGAAUUCCUGUAUUCUUUGCAUCUCAAUAACCUUAACAUGAUGCUGAUCACAUCACUGAUAUAAUACAUGUACAGCAUUUUUCAUUUUUUCCCUUGAUUGGUCUUUGCAUUAUUUUUUAACAUGGUAUCGGAGCCUGUAACCAGGCCUUCUUAGGCAUUUUGUAGUUAUUUCAAAGAGUAAUUGUAUGAGAUUAACUCAUCAUACCACAUUAUCAUUGUUGGAAGGAAAUGCCACAUCAUCUUCCAGGUAUUAGUAUCUUUGCUGCAAUUUAUUGAUGGAACAUUAACAUAAGAUGAUCUGACUGCCUCUAGCUGCCAGAAUUUCAUCAAAAUCUGGUUAACUGUUAAACUGUUGACUUUGAUUCAUGGGCAUUUAUCAGGUCCAGACCUAUCAUUUGACAUACUUUAGACAAGUAAAGAAUAUUAUAUUUUAUUGAAAAUAUUACUAUAGUAUAAUGUUAUAUAAUAUGUACUUUAUUAUGUCCUCAAACUCCCCUUUCUAGACAUCACCACCACUUCACAAUCAGAUUUUGCAACCACAUCAUUCUAAGGUGGAACAGCAGUUGACAUCUAGCAAGCAAUGAUAUGCCAAUGCUCAAUAUAAACAUUAUGCACAGAAUGUAGGAAAGUCAAAGGAUCCAUAAUAGGUUUGUGUUCAUCAAUUUUUUUUUAAAACACUGGACCACAAAUUUGAUGGAGUGAUUACUGUUAGUUCAGGAGGCAUUGGGAGGCCAAUGAAGUUAACCUGUGACAUAAAAUGAAGCAACUGACUUGACAGGGAGCAAAGUUUGCAUGUGUAGAUUGGAUAAAAAAUGAUGCACAUAAAUUAAAAAUAAAAAGGCACACAAUUCCAAAUAAUUCAAAGGAUGGAAUGAUUACAAAGUAAGAGUGUAAGACAAGAAACGACAGAGAAUAUUUGAGAAAAUAUGAAGAAAUGCUCAUCAAACAAACCAAUGAGAUGGAACAAAUCAAACUAGUGAAAAAUCAAGCUUUCCAACAUAAAAAAAAAAUAUCCUUAUGGGAUCCGAUAUAUGUUUGCC
rnacentral:lncRNA from 1 species